rnacentral:tRNA from 1 species
GGGGGCUUAGCUCAGCUGGGAGAGCAUCUGCCUUACAAGCAGAGGGUCGGCGGUUCGAGCCCGUCAGCCCCCA